rnacentral:rRNA from 1 species
AGGGCACCACCAGGAGUGGAGCCUGCGGCUUAAUUUGACUCAACACGGGAAAACUCACCCGGCCCGGACACCGUAAGGAUUGACAGACUGAGAGCUCUUUCUUAAUUCGGUGGGUGGUGGUGCAUGGCCGUUCUUAGUUGGUGGAGCGAUUUGUCUGGUUAAUUCCGAUAACGAACGAGACCCUGGCCUAUUAAAUAGACGGGAUAUAUGAUUCAAAGUAUUCCGCGCUUCUUAGAGGGACAAGCGGCGUCUAGCCGCAUGAAAUAGAGCAAUAACAGGUCUGUGAUGCCCUUAGAUGUCCGGGGCUGCACGCGCGCUACACUGAAAGAAUCAGUGUGCUAUUCGCCUAGUUCGGAAGAACCGGGUAACCCAAGUAAAUUCUUUCGUGCUUGGGAUAGGGAAUUGCAAUUAUUUCCCUUAAACGAGGAAUUCCCAGUAAGUGCGGGUCAUAAGCUCGCGUUGAUUACGUCCCUGCCCUUUGUACACACCGCCCGUCGCUACUACCGAUUGGAUGACUUA